rnacentral:rRNA from 1 species
UACGUAGGUGGCGAGCGUUGUCCGGAAUUAUUGGGCGUAAAGCGCGCGCAGGCGGGAAAGUGAGUCUACUCUAAAAGUGCGGGGCUCAACCCCGUGAUGGGGUGGAAACUGCUUUUCUUGAGUGCCGGAGAGGAAAGCGGAAUUCCCAGUGUAGCGGUGAAAUGCGUAGAUAUUGGGAGGAACACCAGUGGCGAAGGCGGCUUUCUGGACGGUGUCUGACGCUGAGGCGCGAAAGCCAGGGGAGC